rnacentral:rRNA from 1 species
UACGUAGGGGGCAAGCGUUGUCCGGAAUCAUUGGGCGUAAAGAGCGUGUAGGCGGCCAGGUAGGUCGGUUGUGAAAACUGGAGGCUCAACCUCCAGAGGUCGACCGAAACCAUCUGGCUAGAGUCCGGGAGAGGAGAGUGGAAUUCCUGGUGUAGCGGUGAAAUGCGCAGAUAUCAGGAAGAACACCCGUGGCGAAAGCGGCUCUCUGGAACGGUACUGACGCUGAGACGCGAAAGCGUGGGGAGCGAACAGG